CAAAAGUGGAUUAGCGGCGGACGGGUGAGUAACACGUGAGUAACCUGCCUUAGACAUUGGGAUAGCCUCGGGAAACCGGGAUUAAUACCAAAUAAAAUCAUAAUGACACAUGUCAUAACGAUCAAAACUCCGGUGGUCUAAGAUGGACUCGCGUCCCAUUAGCUAGUUGGUAGAGUAAAAGCCUACCAAGGCGACGAUGGGUAGCCGGCCUGAGAGGGUGAACGGCCACAUUGGAACUGAGAAACGGUCCAA
rnacentral:rRNA from 1 species